GAUUUCUGCCGAGCAUUUCACUUUGCUGAAAAACUCUGCUUACGCUCAUUCUUCCCUGAAGAGAGUUAUGUAGCCUACGCAGAAGACCUAUACAGAAGCACACACAAGAUCAUCCUGAUCCCACUCAGGUUAACUGUCUGGACAGCUGUGAGUCAAGCCUUCAAGCCACGCUGCUUUAUCUGAUUGGUCUCAGACUUGAUCUGGCACAUGAAAGGAAAUGUGAGGAAGUUUCAAGCAGGGAUCGUUUUGCAAGUCCAGAGCUGAGGGUCUUUGUGUCAUCUCUACUGUCAGAAUAACAAGAGACUGCCUCUUAACACGCUUCAGCUCUCUAUUGCCACCUUGAGUCUCUCGUUUUCAGGAGAAAACCCAAGUUGGGCGUAGCACAUAUAGAGACAAAGGGAACACAGAUGGCCAUUUCUGCUGACCGGAGCCCUCUCCAUCCAUCAGAUGGAAGUCAUCUCGUAUAAGAGAAGCAAAGUUUUGUUUUCUUUUAAUUUGUGAUUUAUACCCGUUAUGACAAACUCCAGCGAGAGUUGAAAGCUGAAUGCUGGGACGUGUUGAUGCUAACUGAAACUUGGUGUAAACGGCAGCAGAAUUAAGCUUUGUGGAAAGCAGCCUGGAGUGAGAUGCAGGCGUGCAUUGUGCAGCCACCACUGGCAGCAACUGUCAGGGGAGCUAAUGAGAUUUUAGAGUACAUUUGCAAGGGGACAUGGAAAUACUACAAGCACUAUUUCAUCUCUUUUGUGGAUGUUUCAGUACCAUAAUCUUUGUUCUGUAAUUGCCAUCUACAAAAUUUUCACCUUCCUCUGGAAAUAAAUGAAUGUUAGGACAGGUCUGUACAUUGUGGUUCUUAUUAUCCAAAGUAUUUGCUAAGGAAAAUUAGUGUUUUUCAAAGUCUCAUGGGAAAGAUGGUAUAAAAAGUAGAAUGUUGAGGCCUUCCCAUGUAGGCUUUUCUCCAAAAACUUCUGAGUUAUCUUUCAUCAC
ensembl:lncRNA